rnacentral:rRNA from 1 species
UAGGGAAUCUUCGGCAAUGGGGGGAACCCUGACCGAGCAACGCCGCGUGAGUGAAGAAGGUUUUCGGAUCGUAAAGCGCUGUUGUUAAGGAAGAACGAGUGUGAGAAUGGAAAGUUCAUGCUGUGACGGUACUUAACCAGAAAGGGACGGCUAACUACGUGCCAGCAGCCGCGGUAAUACGUAGGUCCCGAGCGUUGUCCGGAUUUAUUGGGCGUAAAGCGAGCGCAGGCGGUUAGAAAAGUCUGAAGUGAAAGGCAGUGGCUCAACCAUUGUAGGCUUUGGAAACUGUUUAACUUGAGUGCAGAAGGGGAGAGUGGAAUUCCAUGUGUAGCGGUGAAAUGCGUAGAUAUAUGGGGGAACACCGGUGGUGAAAGCGGCUCUCUGGUCUGUAACUGACGCUGAGGCUCGAAAGCGUGGGGAGCGAACAGG